UUUUUCUUUUUUUUUCUCUUCUUCUACAAUUUUUUUUCCUCUUCUCUGGGCUUGGUUGUCACCUCCACCUAGGUGCUGCUUGUUAGAUGCCCUCCACCUGGAUUUUGCCUGACACAUGCCUUUCACCCCUCCAACCUGUAUUUUAACCCAAUUUUCACUCGUGUAUAGGUAUAAAAUACAUGUGUUGUGACUCAUACCCCAUCUACCAUUAAAAUUAGUUUUUUUUUCAAUCAAAUCAUGAACUAAUGAUGGGGUUACAAUUGGGUGGGAAAACAAUGGUGGUGCUGCCACCCUAUCUCCCUUCACCCCCAACACUAUUGAAUCCAUACCAUUUUGGUAAAUAAUGCCAUUGAAAUACCAAUUUGGUAUUUAAUUAGUUCUUUCGUGUUAUUUGCAUAAAAAAGUCUAAGUUGGUAAUGAAAAAUCAAUACCAGUCUGAGAUGUAGCUUAGUUGCCUAGAGACAUACCCUGUAUAAUUAGAUCAUCACAGGUUAAUGAGGUAAAUUUUGUGUCUGAUCUAAUUGGCGAACAGAGGAGGAAAUGGAAGGAGAGUGUAGUCAAUAUCACCUUUAAUGAUCGGGAAGCUAAGAGAAUACUGAGUAUCCCAUUGGUGCAGUAAGGGUUACCGAAUAGGUUAAGAUGGUGAUUCGAGAAAUAUGGAGAGGAUACAGUGGGCAAUAGGAUAUACAUUCGUAAUUGGAUAUAUGAGAGAAUUGAAAAUACUGGAGGACUUUUACCCGAGAAACGUGACUAAGGAAACAGAAAGGUGGCAGCCCCCAACAAAUCGGUGGGUCAAGGUUAACUUCGACGGAAGAUUUUACAACGAC
rnacentral:lncRNA from 1 species